CUAUCUUAGACAAGAUUAAGAGUUUUGAGUUGAAAAGAUCUAACCCAUGGGAAGCAUCCACAAGACAAUAGUGUCAGAUAUAAACCCAUUUCCUUUGGAUUUGCAAGCAAACAACAAACCCAUAAUCAUCCAAGAAAUUAAUAAGAAACCCAAUGGUAUCAAAUAAAGAUAACCAAACUAUAGCGGUAAAUUCAUGACCAUUAAGCUAUGGAUAAACUUAAC
rnacentral:lncRNA from 1 species